rnacentral:rRNA from 1 species
UACGGAGGGGGCUAGCGUUGUUCGGAAUUACUGGGCGUAAAGCGCACGUAGGCGGCUUUGUAAGUCAGAGGUGAAAUCCUGGAGCUCAACUCCAGAACUGCCUUUGAUACUGAGGAUCUUGAGUUCGGGAGAGGUGAGUGGAACUGCGAGUGUAGAGGUGAAAUUCGUAGAUAUCGAGAGGAACACCGGCGGCGAAGGCGGCCAACUGGACGAAUACUGACGCUGAGACUCGAAAGCGUGGGGAGCAAACAGG